UACGUAGGGUGCGAGCGUUGUCCGGAAUUAUUGGGCGUAAAGAGCUCGUAGGCGGUUUGUCGCGUCGGGAGUGAAAAUCCAGGGCUUAACUCUGGACUGGCUUCCGAUACGGGCAGACUAGAGGUAUGCAGGGGAGAACGGAAUUCCUGGUGUAGCGGUGAAAUGCCGCAGAUAUCAGGAGGAACACCGGUGGCGAAGGCGGUUCUCUGGGCAUUACCUGACGUGGAGGAGCGAAAGCGUGGGGAGCGAACAGGA
rnacentral:rRNA from 1 species